GAAGGAGAGCAGGAAGCAGAAUGGUUACAAGAAGCUGGCUAUGGAUUCAUUGUUUCCAAGUAUCAAGCCGGUAAGGAGUUUUCUGAGGAUGAGAUCAACAAGUUCACAGAAUCCAUGCCUAGCAACCAUGCUGCCGUGGUUAAAAGACGUGUAGAUACUCUAAAUGCUACACUGAGAAAGAAACAAAAAUACACAACAAAAAUAGAUGUCAGGAACAUAUUCCCAGAACAGCCACCAGGGGGCAGAACUGUUAUUCAUAGCCAACCUUUAGAAGGCGAAGAAGAGGGUACUAGACAGGUAAACUAUAGAACCAGUCUUGUUUUAUGAUAAUUCAGGGAACAAGACGGGUUAAACUUUAGAACCGGUCUUGCUUUGUGGUAAUUUGAGGACCAAGAUAUGUAAAUUAUAGAACGGUUUUUGUUAUAUGAUAAAUCAAGAGUCAAGAGGGGUUAAUUAUAAAACUAGUCAAGUUUUAAAAUAACUUAAAGUAAAUGACAUGGUUAAUUUAUACAAUGAUAAUCUUGGGAUCAACAAGGGUAAAUUAUAGUGUCAGUCUAGUAUUACUCUUAAGAUAUUUGACUACAUUGUGAGUCUUGUAUUACAAGAUAAU